ACACGCAUGACACACUGCAUAUCAAUAAGCGGAGGAAAAGAAACUAACAAGGAUUCCCUUAGUAACGGCGAGUGAAGCGGGAAGAGCUCAAAUUUGAAAUCUUCAAGGUUCUACCUUGACGAAUUGUAGUUUAUAGAAGUGGUUUCUGUUAGUGGAGUGGCAAAAGUUCUUUGGAAUAGGACAUCAUAGAGGGUGAGAAUCCCGUAUUUGGUCAUUCCUCCUAGCGUUGUGAUACACUUUCAACGAGUCGGAUUGUUUGGGAAUGCAGUCCAAAAUGGGUGGUAAAUUUCAUCUAAAGCUAAAUAUUGGCGAGAGACCGAUAGCGAACAAGUACCGUGGGGGAAAGAUGAAAAGAACUUUGAAAAGAGAGUUAAACAGUACGUGAAAUUGUCAAAAGGGAAGCGUUUGACACCAGUGUUGUUUUUCCGAAAAUCAAUUACGAAUGUUUUGUUUUUGAGGAGUUAUGACUUCAUCGGCUUGCUCCUUUCUUUAUGAAACUUUCUUAAUGCACUUUUCGGUUAACAAGUCAGCAUCAAUUUCUUUUGUUGUAAAAGGGUAUGAGGAAGGUGGCUUUCUUUUCGGAGAAAGUGUUUAUAGCCUUGUGCCUCUGCAAUCGGAGAGAUUGAGGUCUGCAGCGUAGAUCCUUCGGGGUUAGAUACGUUUGUGCUAAGUUAUAGCUUUUCAUAGACAACUUGUUGACUAUGUUUAGUCUUGUAGCUUACUCGCAGACGCUAUUUUACCUACGCUUAGGAUGUUGAAGACUCUACAGAGAUA
rnacentral:rRNA from 1 species